GCUCGUGUCGUGAGAUGUACGGUUAAGUCCGUGAACGAGCGCAACCCCUGCCCUUAGUUGCUAAUAUGCGAAAGCAUAUGCACUCUAAGGGGACCGCCAGCGGAAAGCUGGAGGAAGGUGGGAUGACGUCAAAUCCUCAUGGCCUUUAUGUCCAGGGCUACACACAUGCGACAAUGGUCGAGACAACGCGUUGCAAACCAGUAAUGGUAAGCUAAUCGCAUAAAAUCGACCUCAGUACGGAUUGAGGGUUGCAAUUCACCCUCAUGAAGCUGGAGUUGCUAGUAACCGCAGGUCAGCUAUACUGCGAUGAAUACGUUCCCGGGGCUU
rnacentral:rRNA from 1 species